GAUGAAGAACGUAGCAAAAUGCGAUAAGUAAUGUGAAUUGCAGAAUUCAGUGAAUCAUCGAAUCUUUGAACGCACAUUGCGCCCGCUGGUAUUCCGGCGGGCAUGCCUGUUCGAGCGUCAUUUCAACCCUCAAGCCCCCGGGUUUGGUGUUGGGGAUCGGCUCUGCCCUUCUGGGCGGUGCCGCCCCCGAAAUACAUUGGCGGUCUCGCUGCAGCCUCCAUUGCGUAGUAGCUAACACCUCGCAACUGGAACGCGGCGCGGCCAUGCCGUAAAACCCCAACUUCUGAAUGUUGACCUCGGAUCAGGUAGGAAUACCCGCUGAACUUAAGCAUAUCAAUAAAGGA
rnacentral:misc_RNA from 1 species